AAAAUAAAGGGCUAAAGAAAAAAAAACGAAAAACUCAAUAUGUUUUUCGUUCUUCGUUCUUAUCGGCCGCCUUGUUCUUCUUCUCUCUUUUUUUUUUUCCUCUUCUUUUUUUUGUUGUUAUUCUGC
rnacentral:ribozyme from 1 species